rnacentral:rRNA from 1 species
UACGUAGGGUGCAAGCGUUAAUCGGAAUUACUGGGCGUAAAGCGUGCGCAGGCGGUUUUGUAAGUCUGUCGUGAAAGCCCCGGGCUCCAACCUGGGAAUUGCGAUGGAGACUGCAAGGCUUGAAUCUGGCAGAGGGGGGUAGAAUUCCACGUGUAGCAGUGAAAUGCGUAGAGAUGUGGAGGAACACCGAUGGCGAAGGCAGCCCCCUGGGUCAAGAUUGACGCUCAUGCACGAAAGCGUGGGGGAGCAAACAGG